rnacentral:rRNA from 1 species
AACAACGCUGGCGGCGUGUCUUAAGCAUGCAAGUUGAGCGGCAAGGAGGAGAGAUCCUCCCUAGAGCGGCGGACUGGUGAGUAACGCGUGGGUAAUCUAUCGUAGGCAUGGGGGAUAGGUCACUAGAAAAUAGUGGGUAAUACCGAAUACGUUCCAUGAGGGGGAGUACUUAUGGAAGAAAGGGUGCUAUGGGCACUGGCCUUAGGUGAGCUCGCGUCCCAUUAGCUAGUUGGUGAGGUAAAGGCCCACCAAGGCGAUGAUGGGUAGCCGGCCUGAGAGGGUGUACGGCCACACUGGGACUGAGAUACGGCCCAGACUCCUACGGGAGGCAGCAGCUAAGAAUAUUCCGCAAUGGACGAAAGUCUGACGGAGCGACGCCGCGUGGAUGAAGAAGGCCGAAAGGUUGUAAAGUUCUUUUGCUAGGGGAGAAUAAGUGAGGGAGGGAAUGCCCUCAUGAUGACAAGGACUAGCGAAUAAGCCCCGGCCAACUACGUG